GCUGCACCAGUAUGCACUAUGACUGUCGUAGUGGAGACUUAAAAUGCUUACACAAUCAAUUAUUGAGUGUUUUACAUUUAUACGUUGUUUAAACCCAUUUUUAGAGAUUUUCUCUCCAUUGAUCAGUUUCAAAAUAGACUGUUAAAACAUCCACUGGGAUUCAGAGGUGUAAAAGUAAAUAUGAAAAAGUCAAGAGGAGAUGCUGAAUGGAGUUCGUCUCUUCGUACCUGAAGUUGAUCACCUCCAGGGUCUGCCGUGGGUGUUUAUCGGAGACAUAGGGCAUGCGUGCAGGCUGGGGGACCCCUUCAGGGAGCUUGUU